GAUGAACGCUAGCUACAGGCUUAACACAUGCAAGUCGUGGGGCAUCAUGAUGUAGUAAUACAUUGAUGGCGACCGGCGCACGGGUGAGUAACGCGUAUCCAACCUACCCUCCACUCAUGUAUAGGCUUCCGAAAGGGAGAUUAAUCCUUGAUAUCGUCAUUCUCUCUCCUGUUAGAAUGAUAAAAGGACAUCGUUUCGGUAGAGGAUGGGGAUGCGUUCCAUUAGGUAGUAGGCGGUUUAACAGGCCACCUAGCCGAUGAUGGAUAGGGGUUCUGAGAGGAAUAUCCCCCACACUGGUACUGAGAUACGGACCAGACUCCUACGGGAGGCAGCAGUGAGGAAUAUUGGUCAAUGGGCGCAAGCCUGAAACCAGCCAUGUAGCGUGAAGGAUGACGGUUUUUUUGAUUGUAA
rnacentral:rRNA from 1 species